rnacentral:rRNA from 1 species
GACGAACGCUGGCGGCGUGCCUAAUACAUGCAAGUCGAACGCACGAAGUUGAAGAGCUUGCUCUUUAACCAAGUGAGUGGCGGACGGGUGAGUAACACGUGGGUAACCUGCCCAUUAGAGGGGGAUAACAUUCGGAAACGGAUGCUAAUACCGCAUAGUUUCAGGAAUCGCAUGAUUCUUGAAGGAAAGGUGGCUUCGGCUACCACUAAUGGAUGGACCCGCGGCGUAUUAGCUAGUUGGUGAGGUAAUGGCUCACCAAGGCAAUGAUACGUAGCCGACCUGAGAGGGUGAUCGGCCACACUGGGACUGAGACACGGCCCAGACUCCUACGGGAGGCAGCAGUAGGGAAUCUUCCGCAACGGACGAAAGUCUGACGGAGCAACGCCGCGUGAGUGAAGAAGGUUUUCGGAUCGUAAAACUCUGUUGUUAAAGAAGAACAAGGAUGAGAGUAACUGCUCAUCCCCUGACGGUAUUUAACCAGAAAGCCACGGCUAACUACGUGCCAGCAGCCGCGGUAAUACGUAGGUGGCAAGCGUUGUCCGGAUUUAUUGGGCGUAAAGCGAGCGCAGGCGGUUCUUUAAGUCUGAUGUGAAAGCCCCCGGCUCAACCGGGGAGGGUCAUUGGAAACUGGAGAACUUGAGUGCAGAAGAGGAGAGUGGAAUUCCACGUGUAGCGGUGAAAUGCGUAGAUAUGUGGAGGAACACCAGUGGCGAAGGCGACUCUCUGGUCUGUAACUGACGCUGAGGCUCGAAAGCGUGGGGAGCAAACAGG